CCUACGGGAGGCAGCAGUGGGGAAUAUUGGACAAUGGGCGAAAGCCUGAUCCAGCAAUGCCGCGUGAGUGAUGAAGGCCUUAGGGUCGUAAAGCUCUUUUACCAGGGAUGAUAAUGACAGUACCUGGAGAAUAAGCUCCGGCUAACUCCGUGCCAGCAGCCGCGGUAAUACGGAGGGAGCUAGCGUUGUUCGGAAUUACUGGGCGUAAAGCGUGCGUAGGCGGUUAUUCAAGUCAGAGGUGAAAGCCCGGGGCUCAACCCCGGAACGGCCUUUGAAACUAGAUAACUAGAAUCUUGGAGAGGUCAGUGGAAUUCCGAGUGUAGAGGUGAAAUUCGUAGAUAUUCGGAAGAACACCAGUGGCGAAGGCGACUGACUGGACAAGUAUUGACGCUGAGGUACGAAAGCGUGGGGAGCAAACAGGAUUAGAUACCCUGGUAGUCCACGCCGUAAACGAUGAUAACUAGCUGUCCGGACACUUGGUGUUUGGGUGGCGCAGCUAACGCAUUAAGUUAUCCGCCUGGGGAGUACGGUCGCAAGAUUAAAACUUAAAUGAAUUGACGG
rnacentral:rRNA from 1 species